UACGUAGGGUGCAAGCGUUAAUCGGAAUUACUGGGCGUAAAGCGUGCGCAGGCGGUCUUGCAAGACAGAUGUGAAAUCCCCGGGCUCAACCUGGGAACUGCAUUUGUGACUGCAAGGCUGGAGUGCGGCAGAGGGGGAUGGAAUUCCGCGUGUAGCAGUGAAAUGCGUAGAUAUCUGGAGGAACACCGGUGGCGAAGGCGGCAUCCUGGACCAAUUCUGACACUGAGGAGCGAAAGCCAGGGGAGCAAACGGG
rnacentral:rRNA from 1 species